rnacentral:rRNA from 1 species
GACGAACGCUGGCGGCGUGCUUAACACAUGCAAGUCGUACGGUAAGGCCCUUUCGGGGGUACACGAGUGGCGAACGGGUGAGUAACACGUGAGUAACCUGCCCACAACUUUGGGAUAACGCUAGGAAACUGGUGCUAAUACUGGAUAUGUGCUCCUGCUGCAUGGUGGGGGUUGGAAAGCUCCGGCGGUUGUGGAUGGACUCGCGGCCUAUCAGCUUGUUGGUGGGGUAGUGGCCUACCAAGGCGGCGACGGGUAGCCGGCCUGAGAGGGUGACCGGCCACAGUGGGACUGGGAUACGGCCCAGACUCCUACGGGAGGCAGCAGUGGGGAAUAUUGCACAAUGGGCGCAAGCCUGAUGCAGCAACGCCGCGUGCGGGAUGACGGCCUUCGGGUUGUAAACCGCUUUCAGCAGGGACGAAGCUUUUUGUGACGGUACCUGCAGAAGAAGCACCGGCUAACUACGUG